GCUUCCGAGACUGGUGGAUAUUUUUUCAAACUCUCUCGGGUGUCACCUAAAACCCGCCGCGUGUCGCCGCUGACAUGCCAGACCUCCAGCAUCGAUGUGAUUCCUCGAUGGUUCUUAAGCAAGUUAAGGGGACUUCAAGGGUGGCCUAGUUGCUUGUGAAUAUGGAAACGCCAACCAAACUAUGGAGUGCGUACUGCCGUUGCCUGCUUCUCUGCUUCCCAAUUCUUGCAGCUCAAAAGAUGUUGUCGGAAUGCAAAGAGGUCGGGUGCAGUUAUAUAACUGCCGUACUUGCUUCGGUAAAACAAGAAGGAAUUAAAAAAAAAAAUCACAUCACCAAAUCUUAUUAAAAGAGUGACUUUUAAUAUAGUCUUUCCAAGAAACCAUUCUAGCCGGGUGCAGAGAUGAAGAUAUAAGACCUUUAGAUAUCCAAAUUCUUCAAGUGAAUUAAGAACUCUAGUAGCGCUUUUUAAUUAGGCAAAAAACCUCUACAUUUUAGUAUGUGUGAAUAAAUUCUAACACAAAAAUGUACUUAAAAAAUAGAAUCGCAAACACACAUCCACAUAAAAAGCGCAGACAUAAACACGUGUAAAGGCACACAAUUACAAAUAUAAAGAAAUAAGCACAAGCGUUUAAAUGCAAACGCACACACAUACAAUCACAUGCAAACAAAUAAACACAAAGGUAUAAACAAAAACAAACAAAUAUGCAGACCAAAUUAUAUAUAAACGCACAUAAACAACCCCAAACGUAGAUGAAUAUAUCUCACACAAAAGACAUCACCAAUAAACACACGCUUAACGAAGCAAUAUUCUAUUAUUCUGUUAUUCUAUUCUGUCGACACCCUACGGAAUACUGGUUUAUAAAAACAGAACACAAUUCUCGCUCCUGUUCUCAACAUGGCUUCUGCAGUCGCUCCUGUCGCGGUUUCUCCUUUAAUCAAAUUCUGCAGAUAUACUGCUCUGUUCAGUGGUAUUUUGUAUGGUCACUUCAGAUACAAAUCCCUUUCUAAGAAAGAAGUUGUUAUUCAGGAAGAGGAGAACAAAAUCCGUGCUAUCCGGGAUGCUAGGAUCAAACAAGAGACUGAUGCUGCUGUAGCAGCUGAAAUGGCAGUUUUAGGAAAAGAAUUUGGUGUGACAAAAUAAUUGUAGCCAUCUAUAGUUUUUGUAUCCACCUUGUAUUUGACUGAUUUGUUUUACUAUGUAUAGACAUUAAAAGACAAUAAAGUGCGGAUAAAUGUUUGAAAA